UACGGGGGGGGCAAGCGUUGUUCGGAAUUACUGGGCGUAAAGGGCGUGUAGGCGGCCAACUAAGUCCGACGUGAAAUCCCAAGGCUUAACCUUGGAACUGCGUCGGAUACUGGAUGGCUUGAAUUCGGGAGAGGGAUGCAGAAUUCCAGGUGUAGCGGUGAAAUGCGUAGAUAUCUGGAGGAAUACCAGUGGCGAAGGCGACUACCUGGCCUGUUUCUUGACGCUGAGGCGCGAAAGCUAGGGGAGCAAACGGG
rnacentral:rRNA from 1 species